rnacentral:rRNA from 1 species
CGAACGGGUGAGUAACGCGUGAGUAACCUGCCCUGGAGUGGGGGGACGAACAGUUGGAAACGACUGCUAAUACCGCAUAAGCCCACGGAUCCGCAUGGAUCUGCGGGAAAAGGAUUUAUUCGCUUCAGGAUGGACUCGCGUCCAAUUAGCUAGUUGGUGAGGUAACGGCCCACCAAGGCGACGAUUGGUAGCCGGACUGAGAGGUUGAACGGCCACAUUGGGACUGAGACACGGCCCAGACUCCUACGGGAGGCAGCAUG